rnacentral:rRNA from 1 species
UACGAAGGGAGCUAGCGUUGUUCGGAAUCACUGGGCGUAAAGCGCACGUAGGCGGUUGUGUCAGUCAGGGGUGAAAUCCCGGAGCUCAACUUCGGAACUGCCUUUGAUACAGCACGUCUUGAGUCCGAUAGAGGUGGGUGGAAUUCCUAGUGUAGAGGUGAAAUUCGUAGAUAUUAGGAAGAACACCGGUGGCGAAGGCGGCCCACUGGAUCGGUACUGACGCUGAGGUGCGAAAGCGUGGGGAGCAAACAGG